CAGAGGUUUUAAUGAAAGCUCAACUUUCAAGAAACAGAGGUAGAGCCAAUGCCAGCAUCCAAUGACAACGACCAUUGCCAGCACUGACUUUUAAAGUCUACUAGCAGGACAUACGAUUUGCCGCAAGGUUUGGCUGAUGUUGACUCCUGGUAAUUGAGUCCUCUGGCUGACGAAGCUGGCUUACUGUGAGUGUACUGCGUGGUGGACCCACCUCUGCCCAUACAGCACCUGCCCUGAGUGAACAUGAGCUUCAAGCCAGGAGCCAGCCCACUUCAUCUCUGUGGGCCCAGAGCCCAGGGCUAUGCUUGCAUACAUCUUGGAAACGCCAACAAACAGCUGUUAAACCAAAUCUAUUUGGAUACUACAAAUUUUAAAGAUCCAUUAAAAAAGGAUCUGCUUUAUACAGAUAACCAAGUUGAAAAAACAUCUUGAUAGGUCAUAUAAAUCAGAGAUGUCUGCAUGUGCAGAUGCAAGACAAAACCACCAGGGAGCAUGGCCUGCCUUAGUCUGAACCCAGAUAAAAGCAAACGGAACAGACUGCUACGCAGACUGGGGGAUCCAGGAGCUUGCACUUUUUCUGCAUGCAGCCUUUCCUUUGGGAAGGCAGAUCCCUCCCUCCACCCUUGCUUCAGGACUCCCAUUCUGCUUUUAUGUUAACUCCCUCUCCACAAGCACAUGCAGACAGACAGAGAGAUACUGCUGCAAAGGCACUCUCCACCCCUCAAUAGCCUAAAGAGUCUGUGAGUCAUUUGCACUUGUGGCUGACUAGGAGCAUGCAUGUCAUUAAAACUCACUUGCAUGCACGUGUUACUGGACAAAGAAAGGUAGGUCUUCCCUUAUUAUAACACUCAGACAUCACUAAGUUGCAGGAGAUUAUUCUGGAACUAUUGGUACCUGAAAUAAAAGUUCACUUACUCAGCUGGCCAAACCUGGUGUGUUUAGGAAAACUUAGAAAGGAGGGCUGUGCUUGUGGACAGGGGCUGGGAACAUUGUAGGCCUAGUUCUGCUUGCUGGGAAGAGAAGAGCCAGACUCUUCUCAUAAACUUGCUUUCAAAUUUUUCUCCCUCUGAUGCCGCUCCUCCUGUCUGGGCUCCCACUAGUGCCCCACCUCUCUUCCUGCUGUUUCUCCCCUCCUUACCAGUGUACCAUGCCUCACUAGUCCCUCUUUCCCAAGACUCCUAGGUUGUGCACUACACAAGAGCCCUUGGUGACAGGGCUACGUCAGGGCAGAACCCCAGCUCAUGAUCCAUCCCCCAAGAAGUGCAUCCUGAGGAAUUUCCAAACCUUUUCCAAAUUUGUAUAAAAGGUGCUUUAUGGGCUGUCAAUGGCUUCAUCCUCCUACUUAUCCACCCUACAGAUUGUUAUUCAGUAGGUGUAAGGUGGGGACCAGGAAUAUACAAGUUAAAACAGUUCACAGGUGACAGGGAUGUUACAUAGGGCUGGGAACCAGGAUGGAGACAGAGUAUAUUUCCCACACAGCUGGAAUGACAUCCUAAUUAGCUGUAAUGCUCAGUGAAGAGGUGUUCUGGCUGACCGUCAGAGCAGAAGGGAAGAAAAAAGUCAGCAUGUUUUUACUGUUUGGGGAAAAUACUUUAUAAAGCAUAUAACUGCACUACUCUGGACACACACACACAUAUACACACACACCUAAUUAGAUUUCUUUGACAUCUGGAAUUUCAGAGUAAUCAUUUUGAAAAGUCAGUUUCAUUUUAUAGUUGUGUGUGUGUGUGUGUGUGUGUGUGUACUUGUGUGGAAGAAAGAACACAGGGCACAGCCUAUAUCAUGGAUGGUGUUCCA